CCUACGGGAGGCAGCAGUAAGGAAUAUUGGACAAUGCUCGCAAGAGUGAUCCAGCCAUGCCGCGUGCAGGAAGAAUGCCCUAUGGGUAGUAAACUGCUUUUGAACUAGAGAAAACCCCAGUACGUGUACUGGGCUGAUAGUAUAGUUAGAAUAAGCAUCGGCUAACUUCGUGCCAGCAGCCGCGGUAAGACGAAGGAUGCAAGCGUUAUCCGGAUUCAUUGGGUUUAAAGGGAGCGUAGGUGGACUGAUAAGUCAGUGGUGAAAUCUCCGAGCUUAACUCGGAAAUUGCCAUUGAUACUGUUGGUCUUGAGUACAGUUGCUGUGGGCGGAAUAUGACAUGUAGUGGUGAAAUACAUAGAGAUGUCAUAGAACACCGAUUGCGAAGGCAGCUCACAAAGCUGUAACUGACACUGAGGCUCGAAAGUGCGGGGAUCAAACAGGAUUAGAUACCCUGGUAGUCCGCACCGUAAACGAUGAUUACUCGCUGCUAGGGGGCAACCUUUAGUGGCUUAGCGAAAGCGAUAAGUAAUCCACCUGGGGAGUACGCCGGCAACGGUGAAACGUCAAAGGAAUUGACGGCUUGGAGACGNGCGAGGACGACACGAGGGGAGGAGG
rnacentral:rRNA from 1 species